UACGCAGGCGGCUUUGCAAGACAGGUGUGAAAUCCCCGGGCCUAACCUGGGAACUGCAUUUGUGACUGCAUAGCUAGAGUCUGUCAGAGGGGGGUGGAAUUCCACGUGCAGCAGUGAAAUGCGUAGAGAUGUGGAAGAACACCGAUGGCGAAGGCAGCCCCCUGGGAUGAGACUGAGCUCAUGUACGAAAGCGUGGGGAGCAAACA
rnacentral:rRNA from 1 species